GCAGUUAUAAGCGAAACUGCGAAUGGCUCAUUAUAUAAGUUAUCGUUUAUUUGAUAGUACCUUACUACUUGGAUAACCGUGGUAAUUCUAGAGCUAAUACAUGCUAAAAAUCCCGACUUCGGAAGGGAUGUAUUUAUUAGAUUAAAAACCAAUGCCCUCUGGGCUCCUUGGUGAUUCAUGAUAACUCUUCGAAUCGCACGGCCUUGCGCCGGCGAUGGUUCAUUCAAAUUUCUUCCCUAUCAACUUUCGAUGUUUGGGUAUUGGCCAAACAUGGUUGCAACGGGUAACGGAGGGUUAGGGCUCGACCCCGGAGAAGGAGCCUGAGAAACGGCUACUACAUCCAAGGAAGGCAGCAGGCGCGCAAAUUACCCAAUCCCGAUUCGGGGAGGUAGUGACAAUAAAUACUGAUACAGGGCUCUUUUGGGUCUUGUAAUUGGAAUGAGUACAAUUUAAAUCUCUUAACGAGGAACAAUUGGAGGGCAAGUCUGGUGCCAGCAGCCGCGGUAAUUCCAGCUCCAAUAGCGUAUAUUAAAGUUGUUGUGGUUAAAAAGCUCGUAGUUGAACCUUGGGCCUGGCUGGCCGGUCCGCCUCACCGCGUGCACUGGUCCGGCCGGGCCUUUCCCUCUGUGGAACCCCAUGCCCUUCACUGGGCGUGGCGGGGAAACAGGACGUUUACUUUGAAAAAAUUAGAGUGCUCCAGGCAGGCCUAUGCUCGAAUACAUUAGCAUGGAAUAAUGAAAUAGGACGCGUGGUUCUAUUUUGUUGGUUUCUAGGACCGCCGUAAUGAUUAAUAGGGACAGUCGGGGGCAUCAGUAUUCAAUUGUCAGAGGUGAAAUUCUUGGAUUUAUUGAAGACUAACUACUGCGAAAGCAUUUGCCAAGGAUGUUUUCAUUAAUCAGGAACGAAAGUUAGGGGAUCGAAGACGAUCAGAUACCGUCGUAGUCUUAACCAUAAACUAUGCCGACUAGGGAUCGGACGAUGUUAUUUUUUGACGCGUU
rnacentral:rRNA from 1 species